rnacentral:snRNA from 1 species
UUACUUACCUGGAUGGGGUCAAUGGGUGAUCAUGAAGGCUCAUGGCCUAGGCAAGUGACCUCCAUUGCACUUUGGAGGGGUGCUAGCCUAAGGUCUACCCAAGCGGUGGAUCCUGCAUCAUAAUUUGUUGCUGUGGGGGCUUGCGUUCGCGCGGCCCCUUC